rnacentral:lncRNA from 1 species
UUUAAUGUCUUGCAAUGGCUCGAACUAUCUUUAAAUUCCAUUGGAAACAAUACUUUGGUUGACCUAGAAACAUUAAUUUCAUCGAUUGUUUUUGACUUUUACUGCAUUGUCAUGUUAGUGACUAUCAUAGUUAGGACCAAAGACCAGUUAAAGAGUAUUUCCCCAGCUUCUACUGUCUUGGUUCUAAUUUUCCACAUGUUUUGGGGCUCAACAAGUAGAAUCUGCA